rnacentral:lncRNA from 1 species
CGCUCUCCGAGGUUUUGAAAAGAAAAUGGCCUCUGAGAUUGGAAGGAUCAGCUGUAGCGGGGAAGGACAAAGCACUCAAACCCAUCUGGUUGUCUCACAGAUGAUACUGCUGACUUGUGGAUCACUCACUGUGAGGAAAUUCAUGGAUUCUAUGGAAAAAUAAAUCCCAAAAGAUUUGAGAAUGAGAAACAGGGUGGUGACUCCUUUCUAAAAUCCCCCUUGAGUCUUUUCAUUUCAGUUCUUACCUCUUGAUGCAGCUUGACCUCAGAUGGCCCAUAAUCAUGGGAUAUCGUAUUGAUGAAAUAAGAAGGAAGAAUGAUAUGAGGAAGCCAAAAGUUCCUUCUUCCCCUCAGCUUGGGGGAUGGAAACCCUGAACAAAGAAGAAUGAAGAACAAAGACGAGAUUAUAGU